UUGGAAAAAUGGUCGUAACUUAUUGUUCUCGAAACUGUCAACAGUUGCAGCACAUUAUCCUCUGCUCAACAUAUUCAUGCAUCCAAUGAUCCAUUCUGCUGUAGGUUCUCAUUAUUGCUCUUUCUAGUUUUGAGUAUUCAAAAUACUGGUUUUGUUGGAUGCCUUUUGGAAGCCACAUUCUAAGGCAAUUGGUUGAAAUAAAACGGGCAAGCUUCAUGCCUUCAUAUCGACAUUCCUUAAUACACAUAUUUGUAGGAGAUAUGUAUUUAUCUAGCUGUGCACACUGGUUUCUUUCAACAAGUGACCAGAAACUAAAUAAUCCUGGUACUUAUCUAGCUGACUGGCAGCUCCUUGCUCUUCCUACUCUGGCAAAUUUUUCCUGGUCUUGUUCUUUUUCGCCAUGACAAAAUAGGUUUUUUAUGAUGGGUAUUGCUGCUACAUUUGCUGGAGUACUUGGAUUGACGUGUACCUGCCCCUGCCUAUUUGUACUACACAUUGUACUAUGUACAAUAUAUAGCUAUGCCUAUUUGUAUCAGGUUUUGCCUAUUUGUUCAAUAUAUAGUACUGUAUAGAGUUUUGCCUAGUUGAACAAAGUUGAACUCCGUGCAAAAAUAAGAUUCAAACUUGGUACUAUAUUAACUCCAGGGAUGAUUCUAUACAUGUUUAACUCAGUUUUAGUCAUAGCUUUCACCAGUAAGUUCUACUCCCUCCAUCCCAUAAUAUAAGAGGAGUUUUGACACCAGUGGUGUCAAAAACCCUGGUGUCAAAAACCCUCUUAUAUUAUGGGACGGAGGGAGUAAUUUGUCUCGACCUGAGCAGGUUUUGCACCUGAAGUUCCAUUUUUAAUUUCCAAUCUGUUACAGGUUUUGCUACAGAAGUUGACGGGGGUUUGGAAGAUCGUCAAGCUGCUGAAGAUUUGGAAGACCUACGAUUAAGUUGGUGUAGUGAUUAUGUAAUAUGCUUUGUUUGUUGAACCUGGACACUUGCUCUGCUCAUUUUGCUGGUUAAGCCACUAUAUGCUCAUUUUGGUUGUGUGGCACCCUCAGAAACAUAUGUACUUUCUCCUUUUGUGGUAUUACUUCAGUUUGGUUGUGGCACAUUUAACAUAUAUGUAAUAUACCUUUUGUGGCAGAACCUCCUUGAAUAUAUGGGUGUUUGUUGAACUUUGAUUGAAGUGUAUGGAUGAGACCUGUAUGUUAC
rnacentral:lncRNA from 1 species